ACUACAAACCGGGUUAUCGCUUCCUGGUCUUGAUUGGGAGGAGGAAAGUCCGGACAGCAUAGAGCAAUGUACCGGUGAAGAGCCGGGUCCUGGUAAAACGGGAACAGACAGUGCCACAGAAAAUAACUACCGCCAUGAUUCGUGUAUCACGAACCAUAGUGGCAAAGGUGAAAACGUAGGGUAAGAGCCUACGGUGCUGUACAGUAAUGUAUGGCAGGGGUAAACCUUACAUGCUGAAAUGCCAUGUAUACCAACGGCGGAGGGCUGCUCGUCCGAUUAUCGCAAGAUGACCGUUGGGUGGGUAGGCAGCAAGAGCCUGUCAGUAAUGCCAGGCCCAGAUAAAUGAUAACCGUAUCUGUCUAACGACGGGUAAACAGAAUCCGGCUUACAGGUUUGUAGUUAUU
rnacentral:RNase_P_RNA from 1 species